rnacentral:rRNA from 1 species
UACGUAGGGUGCGAGCGUUAAUCGGAAUUACUGGGCGUAAAGCGUGCGCAGGCGGUUUUGUAAGACAGGCGUGAAAUCCCCGGGCUCAACCUCGGGAAUUGCGCUUGUGACUGCAGGCUGGAGUGCGGCAGAGGGGGAUGGAAUUCCGCGUGUAGCAGUGAAAUGCGUAGAUAUGCGGAGGAACACCGAUGGCGAAGGCAAUCCCCUGGGCCUGCACUGACGCUCAUGCACGAAAGCGUGGGGAGCAAACAGG